CCUACGGGAGGCAGCAGUGAGGAAUAUUGGUCAAUGGACGAGAGUCUGAACCAGCCAAGUAGCGUGAAGGAUGACUGCCCUAUGGGUUGUAAACUUCUUUUAUAUGGGAAUAAAAUGUUCCACGUGUGGGAUUUUGUAUGUACCAUAUGAAUAAGGAUCGGCUAAAUCCGUGCCAGCAGCCGCGGUAAUACGGAGGAUCCGAGCGUUAUCCGGAUUUAUUGGGUUUAAAGGGAGCGUAGGUGGAUUGUUAAGUCAGUUGUGAAAGUUUGCGGCUCAACCGUAGAAUUGCAGUUGAAACUGGCAGUCUUGAGUACAGUAGAGGUGGGCGGAAUUCGUGGUGUAGCGGUGAAAUGCUUAGAUAUCACGAAGAACUCCGAUUGCGAAGGCAGUUCACUGGACUGCAACUGACACUGAGGCUCGAAAGUGUGGGUAUCAAACAGGAUUAGAUACCCUAGUAGUC
rnacentral:rRNA from 1 species